rnacentral:lncRNA from 1 species
UGUUUUUAUUGAAGGAUUAGUGGAGGAUUGCGACGAUGAUGAUGAUGAGGCUUUUGAUCCACCAUCUAAAUCUUUCCUCAAGAGAUGAUUUGAAGAAGAAUCUCGACAAUUCGAGCAAAUGUUCAGCCGAGAAGUAAAAAGCAUACUUGAAGAAAUGUGUGAUAAUAGCGUUGUGCAUAAUAGUUUGCUCGAAGUUCUGGUCAAUAGAUCGUUGAUCGAUCUAGGCAACCUCUUCUAAAGAAUAACCCUUGCCAGUGAUACAGGCCGAGACAGGAUCUGCUCGG